rnacentral:rRNA from 2 species
GGGUGAGUAACACGUGGGUAACCUGCCUGUAAGACUGGGAUAACUCCGGGAAACCGGGGCUAAUACCGGAUAACACCUACCCCCGCAUGGGGGAAGGUUGAAAGGUGGCUUCGGCUAUCACUUACAGAUGGACCCGCGGCGCAUUAGCUAGUUGGUGAGGUAAUGGCUCACCAAGGCGACGAUGCGUAGCCGACCUGAGAGGGUGAUCGGCCACACUGGGACUGAAACACGGCCCAGACUCCUACGGGAGGCAGCAGUAGGGAAUCUUCCGCAAUGGACGAAAGUCUGACGGAACAACGCCGCGUGAGUGAAGAAGGUUUUCGGAUCGUAAAACUCUGUUGUUAGGGAAGAACAAGUGCCGUUCGAAUAGGGCGGCGCCUUGACGGUACCUAACCAGAAAGCCACGGCUAACUACGUGCCAGCAGCCGCGGUAAUACGUAGGUGGCAAGCGUUGUCCGGAAUUAUUGGGCGUAAAGGGGCGCGCAGGUGGUUUCUUAAGUCUGAUGUGAAAGCCCACGGCUCAACCGUGGAGGGUCAUUGGAAACUGGGGGAACUUGAGUGCAGAAGA